rnacentral:rRNA from 1 species
UUAAGCGACUAAGCGUACACGGUGGAUGCCCUGGCAGUCAGAGGCGAUGAAGGACGUGCUAAUCUGCGAUAAGCGUCGGUAAGGUGAUAUGAACCGUUAUAACCGGCGAUUUCCGAAUGGGGAAACCCAGUGUGUUUCGACACACUAUCAUUAACUGAAUCCAUAGGUUAAUGAGGCGAACCGGGGGAACUGAAACAUCUAAGUACCCCGAGGAAAAGAAAUCAACCGAGAUUCCCCCAGUAGCGGCGAGCGAACGGGGAGGAGCCCAGAGCCUGAAUCAGUGUGUGUGUUAGUGGAAGCGUCUGGAAAGGCGCGCGAUACAGGGUGACAGCCCCGUACACAAAAAUGCACAUGCUGUGAGCUCGAUGAGUAGGGCGGGACACGUGGUAUCCUGUCUGAAUAUGGGGGGACCAUCCUCCAAGGCUAAAUACUCCUGACUGACCGAUAGUGAACCAGUACCGUGAGGGAAAGGCGAAAAGAACCCCGGCGAGGGGAGUGAAAAAGAACCUGAAACCGUGUACGUACAAGCAGUGGGAGCACGCUUAGGCGUGUGACUGCGUACCUUUUGUAUAAUGGGUCAGCGACUUAUAUUCUGUAGCAAGGUUAACCGAAUAGGGGAGCCGAAGGGAAACCGAGUCUUAACUGGGCGUUAAGUUGCAGGGUAUAGACCCGAAACCCGGUGAUCUAGCCAUGGGCAGGUUGAAGGUUGGGUAACACUAACUGGAGGACCGAACCGACUAAUGUUGAAAAAUUAGCGGAUGACUUGUGGCUGGGGGUGAAAGGCCAAUCAAACCGGGAGAUAGCUGGUUCUCCCCGAAAGCUAUUUAGGUAGCGCCUCGUGAAUUCAUCUCCGGGGGUAGAGCACUGUUUCGGCAAGGGGGUCAUCCCGACUUACCAACCCGAUGCAAACUGCGAAUACCGGAGAAUGUUAUCACGGGAGACACACGGCGGGUGCUAACGUCCGUCGUGAAGAGGGAAACAACCCAGACCGCCAGCUAAGGUCCCAAAGUCAUGGUUAAGUGGGAAACGAUGUGGGAAGGCCCAGACAGCCAGGAUGUUGGCUUAGAAGCAGCCAUCAUUUAAAGAAAGCGUAAUAGCUCACUGGUCGAGUCGGCCUGCGCGGAAGAUGUAACGGGGCUAAACCAUGCACCGAAGCUGCGGCAGCGACGCUUAUGCGUUGUUGGGUAGGGGAGCGUUCUGUAAGCCUGUGAAGGUGUGCUGUGAGGCAUGCUGGAGGUAUCAGAAGUGCGAAUGCUGACAUAAGUAACGAUAAAGCGGGUGAAAAGCCCGCUCGCCGGAAGACCAAGGGUUCCUGUCCAACGUUAAUCGGGGCAGGGUGAGUCGACCCCUAAGGCGAGGCCGAAAGGCGUAGUCGAUGGGAAACAGGUUAAUAUUCCUGUACUUGGUGUUACUGCGAAGGGGGGACGGAGAAGGCUAUGUUGGCCGGGCGACGGUUGUCCCGGUUUAAGCGUGUAGGCUGGUUUUCCAGGCAAAUCCGGAAAAUCAAGGCUGAGGCGUGAUGACGAGGCACUACGGUGCUGAAGCAACAAAUGCCCUGCUUCCAGGAAAAGCCUCUAAGCAUCAGGUAACAUCAAAUCGUACCCCAAACCGACACAGGUGGUCAGGUAGAGAAUACCAAGGCGCUUGAGAGAACUCGGGUGAAGGAACUAGGCAAAAUGGUGCCGUAACUUCGGGAGAAGGCACGCUGAUAUGUAGGUGAAGUCCCUCGCGGAUGGAGCUGAAAUCAGUCGAAGAUACCAGCUGGCUGCAACUGUUUAUUAAAAACACAGCACUGUGCAAACACGAAAGUGGACGUAUACGGUGUGACGCCUGCCCGGUGCCGGAAGGUUAAUUGAUGGGGUCAGCGCAAGCGAAGCUCUUGAUCGAAGCCCCGGUAAACGGCGGCCGUAACUAUAACGGUCCUAAGGUAGCGAAAUUCCUUGUCGGGUAAGUUCCGACCUGCACGAAUGGCGUAAUGAUGGCCAGGCUGUCUCCACCCGAGACUCAGUGAAAUUGAACUCGCUGUGAAGAUGCAGUGUACCCGCGGCAAGACGGAAAGACCCCGUGAACCUUUACUAUAGCUUGACACUGAACAUUGAGCCUUGAUGUGUAGGAUAGGUGGGAGGCUUAGAAGUGUGGACGCCAGUCUGCAUGGAGCCGACCUUGAAAUACCACCCUUUAAUGUUUGAUGUUCUAACGUUGACCCGUAAUCCGGGUUGCGGACAGUGUCUGGUGGGUAGUUUGACUGGGGCGGUCUCCUCCUAAAGAGUAACGGAGGAGCACGAAGGUUGGCUAAUCCUGGUCGGACAUCAGGAGGUUAGUGCAAUGGCAUAAGCCAGCUUGACUGCGAGCGUGACGGCGCGAGCAGGUGCGAAAGCAGGUCAUAGUGAUCCGGUGGUUCUGAAUGGAAGGGCCAUCGCUCAACGGAUAAAAGGUACUCCGGGGAUAACAGGCUGAUACCGCCCAAGAGUUCAUAUCGACGGCGGUGUUUGGCACCUCGAUGUCGGCUCAUCACAUCCUGGGGCUGAAGUAGGUCCCAAGGGUAUGGCUGUUCGCCAUUUAAAGUGGUACGCGAGCUGGGUUUAGAACGUCGUGAGACAGUUCGGUCCCUAUCUGCCGUGGGCGCUGGAGAACUGAGGGGGGCUGCUCCUAGUACGAGAGGACCGGAGUGGACGCAUCACUGGUGUUCGGGUUGUCAUGCCAAUGGCACUGCCCGGUAGCUAAAUGCGGAAGAGAUAAGUGCUGAAAGCAUCUAAGCACGAAACUUGCCCCGAGAUGAGUUCUCCCUGACUCCUUGAGAGUCCUGAAGGAACGUUGAAGACGACGACGUUGAUAGGCCGGGUGUGUAAGCGCAGCGAUGCGUUGAGCUAACCGGUACUAAUGAACCGUGAGGCUUAACCU